AUUAACCCUAUAUCCUUGCCUCUGGUUUGCCUGUCACUUCUUCUUCUCUCGAUACUUCUUCUUCUUCUUCCUCUUCUUCUGAAUUGAGUGAGACCUUGAGGAGGUUUAAGCACGAUAGAUUUGAAGCUUUAAUGGUGAGUUUCAACUGUUUCUAGAGAGUGCGUGUAGUGAGGGUGAGGGAGAGGAUUCGUAAAUGAUUGGAAUGAGAGUGUAAUGAUUUCUAAGGGUCCAGAAAUGAUGGAGCUGAUGUCAAUUUAUAGUGGUUAGGAUUGGAUGAGGAUAGGUUUGGAUUCAGGUCUGGAAUUAGUUAGGAGUUGGUUUGGAGUUGGUUAAGAUGAACUCAGUGAGUUCAAUCUAUUAACUCACUGAGUUGGCAGUUACUUAAUGCAAUUGGUUAGUUACUUGGUGACUGUUAAGUGAUUAUGUUAGUGACUGGCCAAUGCAGGUUGUGCUUGAAUUGAAGUUAUGUGGACCUAGGUUGGUGACCUGCUGAACCUGUUGUAGGUAAUAUUUUAAUGUGUUCAGCUAGCUCAGGUGCAGGGUAACAAGUGGAAUUGUGCACAACCUGUCUAAACCAAAUUAUUGAACUCCAUCUGCACAUGUUACUUGUGAUGCUUGCAAAACUAUUGUAUUGUCAUGUGAUUUUUUGUAGUGUUCAUGUUGCAUUCUUGAUGUAAACUGAUACCAGGGUUGUGCUUGAACUUAGUCUGCAUCAUUUAUUCAUUGAUUUGUUCCUGUUUAUGUUGAUCUAAGCCUGGUUUCGAACUUAUUUGUUUGUUUAUGUAGGUCUGGCAUUGCAACAUGUUAGUGCAAGUCUAAGCAUGGCAUCAGUUUACCUUUGCUUGGGUGGUUUUGUAGCUUAAUAAUGUUGGUUGCAAGUCAUUUCUUUUGGCUUGUGCAUGGUGACAUGAAAUGGAUCUACUAUGGUAGUGCAGUAGCAAGAACUUGCAUAAGAUGAUUUGGAUGCUAUGAUAUGAUGAGUUUAGUUUUGUUAAUGUAAGUGGUACACUCAUGCAAUGGGGAGUUUGCAAGUGUUGCUAGUGUGUGGUUGCUUAGCUUAUGGAAUUUAGGUUUUGAUGGUAUGAUGCAACUCAGUUAUGGGAUUGGGAAUGCCAUGUGAAUGUUGCUUAGUAGUUGCUGCUACUGCAUGAAGUUUAUGGCCUGGUCAUGGAUUGAUGGUGUGUGCAGCUAGUGUUGAUGUCUUCCUACAGGUUUUGUGGUUGAAUUAUGGACCUCACCUGGACUUGUCCUAACUUCAUAUGGUCAUGCAGUGGGGUAUUCAACUCACGAUUUAGGUUUGUCAUGCAGCCAGUGGCUUCAAGUAUGUAUGGUAUGGCUUCAUGACUUCACACCCUGUACUACUUGGUGUUUGUUAUCUUGGUGAAUUGAGUCAUAAACUCUGCAUUUUCAUGGACAUGUACUGCUAUGUUGUUGGUCUUGAAUUAAAGUGUGCCUGCUUCUAGCUUGGUUGUUUGUUACAAGUUCUGUUGUUUUUGUUGUCAUUGCUGGAACUGUAACAGGUUGGUUACAAGGUAUUGUGUGAUGCUAUUGUUAGACUUGGAUCAUGUUUGUGCAAGUGUAACUUGGUCUUGGCAGGGUGUGCUACAGGUUGCAUACUAUGGUUCUUGGUUGGCUCAAAAACACACAAUGGUAUAUAGCAGGUUUGCUGUAUAUUUCCAUUCAUGUUUUGUGGUUCAGUUUGUGUUUAAAGAUUCUUUGAACCAAUGUCUAAUGCAGGGUCAUUUGUAGGUUCAUCAUGGCCUUUUGUUGAUAUGACAGCAGGGCAAUUGUAUGAUCAUGUGCAAAGUGGUUCAAUUGGUUUGCUACCUAUUCAUUUCCAUUUCUGGUUUUGGGUUUAAUGCAGCAUGGCCAUGAUUAGCUUUACAGUUCUGACUUGGUAAAGGCAUAACAGCUAGGUUCAUAACAUUGAUCAUGCACCUGGAGGAUGGUUGAACAAGGGCUUACAAUAUGAUGACCAAGAUUGGAGUUUGAAGCAUUCAUGACAAAUGGCAAGGAUUCAAAGGUCAAGGAUCAAAAUUUGACUUUAGGAUUAGAAUUAGAACUAGGACUUAGGGUUUUAGGAUGAAAAGGGCUUGGGUUGACUUUGGUCAAAGUUGACAAAAAAGUCAAUUGUUGACCAAAGUCAACAUUUGGUCAACAUGCAAUUUUUUGUACUUUUUGGAUGUAAUGAACAUUGCAAUGGACUAUAGAUGGUUAUUUGAAUGGAAAUUGGAGUUUAUGAGUGAAA